rnacentral:lncRNA from 1 species
GGAACUUUUACUUUUAAAGAGAGAGCAAUGCUCAACUCAGAUAAGUGAAUCUGUAGUGUGGACUUUGGGCCAGCAAUGGCUACCAGUGGGUGGGAUUUGGGGCCUGGAUGACAAGACAUGGAAGCCACCCAAUUGUCCAUUGAUGGAUGAAUGGAUAAAGAAGACAUGGUACAUAUACACAAUGGAAUACUACUUAGCCAUAAAAAAGAAUGAAACAAUGCCAUUUGCAGCAGCAUGGAUGCAACUAGAGAUUCUCAUUUCUGAGAAAUUCCAAUGUGAGAACAUGCAGUAUUUAUCUUUCUCAGACUGACUUACUACACUUAGGGUGAUACCCUCUAAGUCCAUCUAUGUAGUUGCAACAGGCAAGAUUUCAUUCUUUUUCAUGGCUAAUAUUCUAUUGUGUGUGUGUGUAUCACAUCUUCUUUAUCCAUUCUUCAGGUGAUGGACACUUAGAUUACUUUCCCUUAUUUUGGCUAUUGUGAAUAAUGCUGCAAUGAACUUAGGGGUAAAUAUAUAUUCUGGAAUUAAUGGUUUUGUUUUCUUUGGAAAAACACCCAGCAUGGAGUUGCUGUAUUGCAUGAGAGUUAUAAUAAGUUUUGAGGAACUUCCUAUCGUUUUCCAUAGUGGCUGCACCAAUUCGCAUUCCACCAACUGUGCAC